CGUUCCCGGGUCUUGUACACACCCCCCGUCACACCAUGGGAGCGGGUUCCGCCAGAAGUAGUUAGCCUAACCGCAAGGAGGGCGAUUACCACGGCAGGGUUCGUGACUGGGGUG
rnacentral:rRNA from 1 species